CCAGCAGCUGCGGUAAUUCCAGCUCCAAUAGUGUAUAUUAAAGUUGUUGCAGUUAAAAAGCUCGUAGUCGAAUGUGUGCAGAUUAGUUGCUCUGUGGGCGCCUCUUGGCAGCAAUGCUUUGGGGGGUUCGUUUGGCAAGGUUUGCAAUGGUAGCUUGGAUGCAAUUGUGUCGGCGGGUGCUUAAGUGUGCUCGGCGGGGCGGCAUCCUGAUUACUGUGAAAAAAUUAGAGUGUUCAAAGCAGGCCUACGCUUGAAUACAUUAGCAUGGAAUAAUGGAAUAGGACUUUGGUGCUAUUUCGUUGGUUAAUGGGACCGAAGUAAUGAUUAAAAGGGACAGUUGGGGCCGUUUAUAUUUCGUUGUCAGAGGUGAAAUUCUUGGAUUUACGAAAGAUAAACUUCUGCGAAAGCAUUCGGCAAGGAUGUUUUCAUUGAUCAAGAACGAAAGU
rnacentral:rRNA from 1 species